AAGGUCCCUGACUGGUUUCUGAACAGGAAGAAGGACUACAAGGAUGGGAGGUUCUCCCAGGUUGUUUCUAACGCCCUGGACAUGAAGCUCAGGGAUGACCUUGAGAGGCUGAAGAAGAUCAGGUUUGGUUCUGCUCGCUUACCACAUUUUUGUAGCUUUGUAACUUGCAUGUGUGAGGUGCUGUACAUAUACCUUUCAUGCUUUUGUUGGAUUGAUAGAAAUUUUAGCUAAAUUUGUUCUGUUUCAAUGAGAUGUUUAUGGCAUCAACAACUGGUCAUGGGAAUUUGGGAAUAAUUCAUUGUUGGUUAAUUUGUGUUCUGAUGAAAUUUCUACCUAAAUAUGAACUGUUCAUGCCUUCGGUUAUUCACACAGUUUAAAUAAUUCAUUUGUAUUAUGAUGAAUCUAGUGGAGUGAACUCAGUUUAAAUCAUAUUCUUUUUUGUGUCGAGGCUUUGGACUGCUAACUUCUUUGGGCUAAUUAAUUGCAUUCUCAGAGUUGAACAAAUUGCUCUUUGAUUUCAUUUGAACUACCUUUUGUAAUUCAGGAACCACCGUGGUCUCCGUCACUACUGGGGUCUCCGUGUCCGUGGUCAGCACACCAAGACUACUGGCAGGAGGGGAAAGACUGUCGGUGUCUCCAAGAAGAGAUAAAUUCCAUGUACAUCAGCACAGCAAAUAUGCAUUUUGCUUAUCUUAUGAGCGUUUCAAUGAUGUCGGUCUUGAUAGGCAGUUUUGUUGGAUGAUGCUUUUGUCUAAGAAGAUAGAUCGUGCGUUGCAGGAUUCUCAAACUUUUUAUAUAUUGUUGACUUGGUUGUUUGGUACCGCAAAUUCUGAAGCCUAAUUUUUUACUGGAUGUGUUUCUAGUGGAAGUUAUGUUUUCAUAUUUCAUUGCUGCUACGGUUGACAUUGUGCUAUUUCAACUUUCACACGGUCGGCGAGAACCAUAGGAAUCGAUCACAAUUCUCACACAAGAAGAGUGGUUUUGCCCUCUCUAAUCAGCCGCUAAUGUCAUUUAUUAAACUAUGCAGACUUGCAGCCAAGGCGCAAUGUCAGCGUCUAAAUUUGCUAGCCAUUUUAACGACGUAAGAUGAUGAUCGAUGUACGCAGUUUUGUUUGUAUCAUGCUGAUUAUGUACAGUUUUUUUUUUCACGAUAAAUCUACAGGUUUGAUUCUUGAUCGUGCGGUCUCAGUAGCUUAUAGUACUAGAAAAAAAGGGUCCCCUAUGCAUUGAAUUCAUGGCGGCAGUGACAUUCCCCGUGGGGUUUAAUCAGCCCGGUGAGCGUGACUUAAACAUUGGAGACAUUUGUCACCAACAAAAGUACUCUUUUGGGUUUAGUUAUACCGCCUCCAUCAAAAGUGUAAGUAAUAUUUUAUUUUCUGUUUUUUUAAAAAAAAAUGAGAUGAGCAUAUUUGUAGUCUCAAUAUGCUAAAUUAAAUUGUUGGCUGAAACCCAAUGUGUUAUUUUAAUACGCAUUGGUAGUAUGCAUACAUAUAUUUCCUUGGUCUUGUCAUAUGGUGAGCGAGCUAAUUCUUCUUAAUCUUAAUGAUAAAAGAAAUAUGUCUUAAACUUUUGGAUGGAGGGAGUUUUAGUCGUGGCUCCAGUAGCUAGUAGGGACUGUAUAAUAAAUAAACCAUAUGCAUAGUUUAAACUCUAAUAAGAUAUAGAUUUUUCUCUGGUUUCUAUUAGCACGGUUUUCAAACUACUAAACGGUGUGUUUCGUGCCUAAACUUUUUAUAUAUAAGUUACUAUAAAACUCAAAUAAAUCUAUUUUUAAAUUUUUAAUAAUUAAAGUUUAAUUAAUCAUGUGCUAAUAAUUUGUUUUGUUUUUGCGUGUGCACUUAAUCUCGGAGAAUCGAACGGGACCAUGUGUAUAGUGGUAGAGGCAACAUCAAUCAAAUGAUUUGUUUACACAUUACCAACUACCAACACAAACACCAUCAGCAGCAGCAGCAGCAUUAUGCAUGAGAGUGAGUGAUCAGUAGACCAAUGCAGAGAGAGGAUGAUGCAUUAGCAUUAGCUAUUAAUUAGCUCUCCUUUAGCCUUUUCUUCUCCUGUGUAAUUCUUCCAAGACUCCAGUAACAACCCUCCCUGUUGUUAAGUUUAACUCAUGCAGCAGCAUCAUCAGUUACUUAGGAGAGUAGAUGCAUUGUUGCAAUGAGAGGUAAUUAAUCUGAUCUUAGGAGUUAGGACAUGCAUAUGCAUUGCUUCCCUUGGAUAAACAUGAUUAGGCACAUUGGUCAGAUGUUAAUAACUGAGAUGGGAUGAAUAGUAUUCCUUCCCAUUAGCAGUAGAGGGGUAGUGAAUUGGACGCGGGUGUGCUUCCUCCUAGAAGCUUCAUGGAAGGAGUGAAGGUACCCAUCACUGAAUUUCUUUUGAAAAUACACUAGGCUUUUUUCGAAUUUGAAUGAAUACAUUGCUUUCAAAUUCUUGUGCACAAAUGUACCAUCGUCUUAUCAUCUUAGCAUAGGGAUGCGAAGCCAUCACCGGCUUUGCCGUGCUCGUUGUCCCAGUACGCGCUUUGGCGCAUAGUGCAAAAAACGGACCGGACCGGUUAAACCGGAAAAAACCAUAACUAGGAACCUUGACGGCUCGGUUCACUUCAAAGACCAUCCAUGCAAUCAGACCUGUAAAAACAAGGUGAACCGAACAGUUUUUGGGAAAACCAAUGAACCGGGUGGUUUUUGACAAACCGAGUGGUUCGGCGUCGUGCGUAGAAAAUGCCACACGUGACGCGGAGCAAUUCCCUUGGGCCAUCUCGGCCCAUUUGGCCGUGGUCACUAGGGUUAGAUUUUCCCCUGCCUCUCAUCUCUGUCGUUCCCAUCUCCAUGGCGGCGGCACCAAAAUAGCAUUAGUAGUGGACGUGAGUAGUAGUGGUUUAGUUAGGGGUGAAAACGGAUCGGAUAAUAUCCUAUCCGAUCUGUUCCGAAUCCGUUCGAAACGAGUCUAUGGUAAGGGCUUUCAGAAAUCCAACUGAUAUGGAUGUGGAUGCGGAUGAGGAUAUGGUAUCUCUAAAAUCUGGCGGAUGUGGAUUAUCCGAUAUUUUUAUCGGAUUAUCUGAUAUGCCAUUUGCUGGAUAAUUCAAAAUUAUCAACACAUGUAAUCACUCUAUCUAUUGCAUAUAACAUAAGUUGGUCCAUCUAAUGGCCUAAUUCAUCAAUUAACCUAGAUUUUUUAGUCUGAGGCUUUCACCGCCUCAUGUCACACUUGCGUAGUUGUAUUUUUAUAUUAUGAACAUCACGUAUUCAUGUUGUUUAGCACUUAAGCACAUAAUUAUUACAAUGGGUCGUUCAUUGACUAUUGUAUUAUUGUUUCUUACAUUGUUAAGUUGACAUUGUAUUGAUUGCAUACACACGUAACAUCCGAUAAAUUUAAUCCGUUUCCAAACUGAUUCCGCACCGACUCCGCACUAUUUCCGACAUCCGAAACAAUCCGCUCCGUAUCCACAUCCGUGUACUAUCCACACGGACCGCACCCGCUCCGAGUUCGCUUAAAAAAAUAUGAUUUAGGAUAUGGUAUGAUCACUAUCCGUCUGAAUCCGCUCCGUUUUCACCCUUAGGCUUAGCCCUAACCGGAGACCACCUCAUCCCAUAUAUAAAUGCCUUUAGCCUAUGGUACACGUCUUUUUUAACCCCUUUAAUGACUUAUAUCUUUUAAAUCACAUAUUAUUUUCAAGAUUUAUUUGUACCAUUAUACUCUACAUAAAAUAUGUGACAAAACAAGAUCCAUGUUGAAUAUAUUCAAACAUUUUAUUAAUUUAAAAGUAAUUUAUUAAAUUGUAGAAGUAACUUAGCUAUACAAUAGAAGUAACUCUCUAUAGCAUUAGAAGUAAUUACAUCAUGACUGAGUUUAAAAUAAGAAAUUAUGUAGCGUAAAUUCACAAGCAAAGUCUAGGGAAGAUUUUUAAGUAAAUGUAUUUAUGAAAAUAAAUUUAAUAAAGUCUAAAAGUAAUUUACAUAAAUCAUAAAAGUAAUUUAGCAUAAAAUGGAAGUAAGUUGUUACAACAUUAGAAGUAAAUUCAUUGUAGAGAGAAAAAUAUUGUCUAUCUAAAAAUCAAAUUUAAAGUCCACAAAUUAUAGAAUUGACUAAAAAUAAUAAUAAAAUAAUCAACUUAGAGCAUUAUGAAUAUAUAAGAAGUAAUUUAGUCGAAUCGAAAAGUAAUUUAUAUAUGUGAUAAAAGUAACUUACGUAUAUAAUAAAAGUAAUUUACAAACAUAAAUAUUUUUCUAUCGUAAUAUAAUCAUGUAAGAUCUUAUUGUAAAGAUUAAAUUGUAAUGAACACAAUGAUGUAAUUGGAUUGUAGAUCAGAUAAGUAAUUUGAGAGAAAAUUUUAUAAGAGAAAAAAAAGACAUGCAUGCAUAAUAGCAAAAAAGACAUGCAUGUCUUUGUAUGUGUGUAAUUUUUCUUUGAUGUAUGUGAUGCCGGCACCAUCGUGGACAUAUUAUGCAUUCUUGAUUCUUUCGGCAUCGAGUCAAGACAAGCCAUUAAUUAUCAGGAUUUUCGUUAUUCUGUGUGACUUGCACUGGAGUAUAUCCACUUGCUUUCUCCCUUUUUUUUCCCUUUAUCGUUGGGCAUGCUCUUUGAUUUAUUUAUUUACAGUUGGGAAACCCAGAAGUAGAUUUUUUUUUUGGACGGCAGGAGUACUGGAUAAGAAUUCCUGUCGUAUAUGUAGCAUAAUUACACUUUUCUGCAUUAGAAAUAAUGGUAAAUGAAUAAAUUAUUAAUAAAGUUUGAACCGGUAGUUCGAUCGAUGAUCUAGCGGUUAGACCGGUGAACCAGAUGCUUGACCGGGUUGACCUCCGGCCCGUUGUUUUACACUUUGCUUUUUCAUUAAAAAAAUAUGGCGACCGGUGAACGAGCACUUAGGACAGCUGUAGUGUGUGUUCUGAGAGUUCUGUUCAUACCAGUUGAACAAAGCUUUCCUCACAUGAAAAUAAAACUCAAUCUCACCUUUCCUCUCGCUCUCACAUCCGGCAGCAACAAAUAUAUUUUUUAUUUUUAUGAUUUGUGUUCGACCUCUCGUUUGAAGUCGCUUUUUCAUCUGACCCAAACCAUUAGCUCCUCACAAUGUGCACGGUUCUUUUUUUGUUUUUGGUUAAAAUCGAUUUUAGGUUCACACUGGAGUUGGUCUUAUAGGGAGAGAGCUUUGGCACUGGUGAAGACUUGAUUUUUUUUUUCUAAAACAGUACUAGCCAUGGCUGUCUUCGGAUGUGAUGGCUGUACCUGCGCAGCACCAGCAGCUGCAGCUCUCUCAGGGACAACCGUCGUAUUUUUCAUAAAAAAAUAGUCAAUACAUAUUUACUCCCUCCAUCCCAAAAAAAGAUAAACCAUGGGUUCUCGUGCUAAUGUUUGACUGUCCGUCUUAUAUGAAUUUUUUUUAUAAUUAGUAUUUUCGUUGUUGUUAGAUGAUAAAACAUGAUUAAUACUUUAUGUGUGACUUAUCUUUUUAAUUGUUUUCAUAAUUUUUUCAAAUAAGACGGACGGUCAAACGUUGGACACGGAAACCAGGGUUUGCCUUUUUUUGGGACGGAGGGAGUACACUGCAAGUCCUUAAAAUUAAAUGUGUAUUUACAAUUACAUGUGUAAGUCUCAAAAUUACAUAUGUAAUUAGCAGGAUGUAAUUAUGGUGUAACUAAAUUAAUAUGAAGUAUCAAUCAUUACUUUGAUCUAUCUGUCAAAUCAAUACGCCUGCCUAGUGUUAUAGUGCUAGAGGAUGAUAAGGACAAAGCGCAACAGAGUAAAGAUGGCGCACCCGAGUAAAGAUGAAGAAAAUCAGUAAAGCAUGUGUGGCUAAUGCCACGUGAGCACGAAUCUCCGUGACAAUCCUAAGGCCAAACUGUCGCCACAACUAUUGCGAAUCCGUUCUAUAACAUGCCCACCAACCCGCGAUCCCGGCGCACGCACAACUGUCUCUGCCAAUUCCGCCCGCCGCCCCUCUCUAAGUCUCUACUCUCUUCCAGUUCCGCUGCCGGUCGCCGGCGACCUCUCGCAAACAUGGAGAUCGCCUCCUCCCCAGUCGUCCCAGAUGGAGAUCUUCCGCCGGUUCCCCACCAUGGACGUGCAAGCACUUCGCCGUCCAUUGCCGUUCAUCUGUCACCUCCCUCGUCUCCAGCAGUUGUGCCAUCGACUUCUGCGGCAGCAUCUCCUCAGCCAUCUGUUUCACCUGCUGCAGCGUCGGCUCUUUCACAAUCUGCUCCAGCCUUGGCAGCUGCACCUCCACAACCACCAAACGCAGAGGUUUUCUUCUCACCGUCCUCUUCUCCUGGUUAACUUGCCAGAUUUAGAGCUCGUUCACUUUGCUACUAUUUUCAACCUUAUCAUUUUUUUUUGCAAAGUUAUCAAAAAAAAAUGGCUACAUUUAGUUUGUUGCCAAAUUUUGAUAAGUACGUAUGAAAUUUUGUCAAAAUUUGAUAACCUUGCUAAAAUUUUGAUAACCUUACCAAAAUUUGACAAUGUCAAAACUUGAUAAGAUUGAAAUGGAAGCAAAGUGAACAAGCUCUUAGUGAUUCAUCCUGGAAAGAAAAAAAAACCUUUCUCCUUCGGGGCUAUUAUACUUUUACUCCUAUUUUAAAGUUCAAUUAUAAUUUUGCUCUUAUCUUUUAGGGGUUAGCAUUUCGAUUUGCAUUUUGGCCUCUGCUUUUCUGAAACGGAGCAGAGAUUUGCCCUUUGUUUUGGAUGGAUGAUGGUGUUAAGUCGAGCACGAAAAUACAUAUAUGCCUUUACUUAUUGCAUAUUUACCCCUACCUGUAGAUAUCACUGGUGUUUUCACCCAUAUUUUGCACAUAAAGCUGCAAACUGUUUUGAGCUUAAAUUUUUUGAAAUAAUUUAAAUCUUAUCAUAUUUUUGACAAACUUUGACAAAUAUGAUAGUUUUGGUAUAAUUUGAAUAUAGUUUUGGCAGAAUUUGACACAACUAGCACUAGCACUCACUUGGUGGUUAGUCAAAGAUUAAUCUUUUUCUCUAAUCGCCUCGAUCAGCAGUUAUGAAUGCAAAUUACAUGACAGCAAUGAAGAGACAAUCAACACUAAUCUUCCUCUCACGCCGUGCUGGUCCGCACUAGUCAACAGGGCAAGCGAAGGAGGAAUCCACCUUGGCAAACCUUCUGUUGUGCCCUAUCGAGGAGCCACCCCGCCCCGCCUGCUGCUCGCGUCGAGAGGCUUCCGCCGCCGCCGGAGUGGUCGCCGCGCCGAGGAACCGCCGCCGCCGCCGCAUCGAGGAGUUGUCGAAGCGACCUGCUGCUCGAUCGCGUCGAGUAUAUGCCUCCGCAUCAGGGAGUCGUCGCCGCGACCUGCUGAUUUCGUCGAGGAGCCGCCGCCGCCGCCGCCUGGUGCUCGUGACGCCGCGCUAGCAAUGGCCGGAGCCACCGUCGCCGCCUGCUCCAUCUCCCCAUAGGAUUUUGGAAUGGGAACGAUGGGGUCUUGGGGACACAUACUCAUGGGUAGAAGAGUACUCCCAUAUUUCUUAAACCAUUUUUUUUCUUUUCCAUUUCUAUUUCUUUUAACUCAAUACCAUGGGACCGACCUAACUAUCAUCUAUAGUAGGGGCAAACGGUUACUUCAUUUGAAAAAAAUAAAAAUGAAUUCGUAAAAUUGAAAGUUAGGGCAACACAAUUCUUCCUUCUUUAUAUCACACUCAUGCAUAUAAUCGAGUUAUAUAUCUACUGUUCCAGGGAUCAUUUACACGAGAGGUGUUUCUGUUCACCACAUCAGGCAGCAUCUUUGUGGGACUCGCUGCGCUCACCAAAGUCAUCACCAAUGGCUGGCCGCCGGUUGCCAGGACACUCUUCGCGCCAUUCGCUGUCUGCAGGGGCAGAUCUAGAAAAAUAUAGUAGUAGGGGCUGAACAAACUACAUCAGUAUAAAUUGAACCUCUAGUCUCCAUAUCCUAUAAAUCUAUGGGAAAAAUAUUAGUGGGGGCUUAGGGGGGUCUCCACUGUCCCGGGGGCGGUAGUGGGGUCUCAAGACCCCUCCGCCCCCAUUGUGGAUCCGCCCCUGGCUGUCUGCGUGAUGAUCCUUCUAGCAGCAGGCUCGAUUGCAACCACCACCAUGUCAGACCGUCCUAAACUGCAUUUCCUGGCGAAAGUUGCAGCGAGACUUUCCCUUAUUCUAGCUAUCAUGAUGCUAGAGAUCCCAUUCAUUCAGAUGGCUGCAGGAUUAUCUGCCCUUGUGUUCGCGCCGAUUCUUAUGGUGAUUACGCUCAUUAUACUGGGAUGUAUCUGGUGGUGGAGCGAGCCUGAAAUUGUGUGCAGGUUGAUGAACUCACUGUUUUGUCGACACCGUCAGGUUCAGGUUAUUCCUGAGCCCGCUGCCGACAAUGUGUGAAGAACCGAAGAAAUCAAACUUCAGGUAAGUGUUGGCUUUCUGUUAACUUCAUCGAGAUUGUGAAUUUUGUGAUUCAUUUCUGAACCUGUACGCCCAACCCAAACAAUUUUUUUACCAGGUCGAAAUAUAAUGGAAGGGGUGGUGGUUUUACAUGAGACUAUACAUGAGACCAUGAGUUUUACAAGAAACAUAUGAUGGGGUUAUUUUUAAAAUUAAUUUUGAAAAAGCUUAUGAUAAAGUUAAAUAGUAAUUCCUCCGACAAACAUUAUACAUGAAGGGUUUUUCUCAGCCGUGGUGUCACUGAUUUCUAAAAUGGUUAAAGGGGGAAGUGUCCGUAUAAAAGUCAAUGAUGACUUGGGUAAUAAUUUUCAAACGCACAAAGGCUUACAACAAGGAGAUCAAAUGUCGCAUAUACUUUUCAAUAUUAUGAUUGAUAUGUUAGCGAUUCUCAUUGAGCGAGCUAAAUUCGAUGGUUAAAUUAGAGGAGCCAUUCCACAUUUAGUGUAGGAUGGUUUGUCCAUUUUACAAUAUAUCGAUGAUACAUUAAUCCUAUGUGUGUUCGAACAAUUCUCAGGGCUAAAAAUUAACUUUCAUAAAAGUGAGAUUUUGCUUUGGGAAAGCCAAGGAAGUGGAUGAUCAAUAUAGACAACCUGUUCUAUAUAGUAAUUUUUUUUGGGGGGGGGGUGGCAAACACUGUUCUUUCUGCUAUGCGUAAGAGACAAUCUAACAUGUUUUCUUUGAGUGUCAUGUUGCUUAGUUUAUUUGGAGAUGUGUGGUUUUUUUUGCUUUUAAUAUCCCUUCACCCCGUAACGCGAAAAAUAUUUUUGUUAAUUGGCUUAGAGGGGUACCUAGGUCUAUUAAAAAAAUUAUUCUAAUUGGAGUUAGUGCUGUACGUUAGGCAAUUUGAUGUUUUUGUAAUAAUAAAGUUUUUAAUACUAAACAAUUAUCUAACUGUAUACAGGUUAUCUUCAUGUCUUUCUAUUGGCUUCAUUUUUUUUUCUACGAUGCUACCACAUGAGGAGCAUGAUACUGCGCACAAUGGUGCUACACUCUUGGAAUCGGUAGCCAAGGGUCUCUAAUUCCAUUCUAGGUGGCGUAGUCCAUUAGAAUUGCUAGCUAAAAAUCUAUGUGGUUUAACGCUAGCUAAUAAUAAAGGAGAAUUGAGAAUUUUUCCCAUCACUUUGUUUCUCAUUUUGAUUUAUUUAAUAAUGUUUUUAAGAAACUUAUGGUUGUGUGUCUUAUGACAGAAGUCGAAGAUGUAAUCCAUUUCCAUAAUAAAUUUUCUUUUUGUCAAUCUAUACUUAAACCGUGGAAGAAGACUGAAUAAUUAAGGGGCAAUUUUGUUCUGCCCCUACUUUAAUAUUUAAUAUUGAUUUUACCCUUAUUUUUUAGGUUUUCGUUUUUUGUCCUCAUUUUUUUUAAUGAAGCCACGUUUUGCCCCUAUUAUGGAUGGCCAAGUUAACGGUGUUAUAAAUUGGUAAAAUGACAUUCAUACCCUUACUUCUUGUUGCACAUUUGCUUCCGUAUCUAUUCAUUAAUUAUGUUUUUCCCCAUAUUUUUGUACAUGUAGCUUGGAACUUUAUUUUUUAUGAAGAUAUCUAAAGUCAAAUGAUUUUUUGACGAACUUUGAUGAAUAUAACAAUGUGGACAGCAUAUGAAAAUAAUUGUAACAUGGUCAGAUUUAGAAGUUGACACAAUUUUGACAGAAUUCGGAAAAAAAAAAUAGUGAACUGAAGGAUAGCACUGGUGACCCAACGAUUUGCGAAAAUAACAUGCUCAACAUAGCAUGUUUGAGAUUCAUGAACCUGCUUCCUUUGUAGCAAGUCCGCUUUACACAUUCAUGGACAGCUUGCUUACAAGAGGAAUGGCGCUACGAAGCUCGGUCAAGGAAUACUCCAAGGGAUUGUGAAGUACUCUCUCCGUAUUUUAAUGUACGACGCCGUUGACUUUUUAACAAACGUUUGACCUUUUGUCUUAAUAAAAAAAUUAUGUAAUUAUUAUUUAUUUUACUGUGACUUGAUUUAUCACCAAAUAUUCUUUAAGUAUGACAUAAGUAUUUUUGUAUUUGCAUAAAAAAUUUAAAUAAGACGAAUGGUCAAACGUUAGUUAAAAAGUCAACGGCGUCAUAUAUUAAAAUACGGGAGUAUCAGAUACAGGGUCACGUAUCGCACUCACCGUGGUCGACAGGAGCAAUGGCCGUCGUAGUGCGGAGGCUACACAGCGUGCACCGCGUCACGCUCAGCCACUCCAGCGCCGAUCACUCCGGCAGCCGUCACUGCAGCCCCACAGCCUCCUACCUCUCCCCGUCGCUGGCCCGUAGCCUCCUACUCCCCGCGCACCGUAGCCCCUGCCGACCGCCGCCGUGGCCUCCUGCGCGUAGCCGCCGGCCUCCCCUCUUCACCGUGCGCCCGCCGCCGCAACUUCCUGCCUGCCUCUGCGGCCUCCUGCCCGUCGCCCUCCCGGCCGAGCCGCCGCCGCCGGGUUUCCUAAACGCCACCGGAGCCUCCUGCCCGUCGCCGCCUGCUGCAACCUGCAAGCCGGGACGCCGCCGCCAGGGAUGGGGGAUUGAGGAUUGGAGAUAAGGUUUUGGGCAGCGAUUUGGCUUCCUUACUUUGCAAAAUAGCUAGGGGUAUAAAGGUAAUUCAAUAAUUUGCAAAAUCAUUAUUUCUUUUCUUUUCUAUUUCUUUACAGCAACAAUUUCGGCACCAUUAACUUCGGUGAAAAACAGGGUAGACGCUUUGUCUAUUUAAAAAACCAGGGAUAAAAAGCGAAAACCUAAAAAACCGAGGGUAAAAUUAUAUUAAAAUAGAGGCAAUAACGAAAUUGUCUCAAUAAUUAAAGUUGUUGGCAUCGCUAUAUAUUAUACUAGGUGAAACCCCGCGCAUUGCUGCGGGAAUUUAGUAUGAUAACAAUAAAAAAAAUAACAUAUAAGAUAGCUAGAUAACAUCAGAUUAAGUAAAUUAAUGUGGUUUAUGAUAAUUUAAAUUUAAAUAGUAUGUAGAAUGGUGAUUCAAACGUAAAAAGUAAGCUGGUAUGACUUUAUGGAAGAAGAAAAGUAGGGAGAUAUAUUAAUCAUCUAAAGACUAAAAACAAUUGAUGUGAUAUGACUUAAUUAGAGGAAAAAAAGAGAAAGAUAAUUUGGACCAUAGAUUAAUCAUUUAAGCACUGACUAAGUGAGAAUGACCUAUAUACUUUAUAUCAUAAAACAUAAUAAAGAUAUACAUUGAAACAUUAUGUGAAUUAUGUUGGAUGAUAAUUUAACAUGUUUGUAUUUUAAAAGCUCUUAAAUUAUAAAAACUAUAAAUAUAUAGCAUGUUUGUAUGAUGUUUAAAUGUGAUGAGUGUUAGUGGAUGAUGAUGUGACAUCUUGUUAAUUAGUGGAUGAUGAUGUGACAUCUUGUUAGUGGAUGAUGAUGUGGCAUCUUUGCAUGUCAAGCUUAAGAAGUUAGUGGGAGAUAACUUUAUAGGAAGAUAGGAUUGGUGCAAUAAGAGAAGAGGACUUUUUUCGGUCUUCUCGUCUCUUUGCGUCUCUCAUUUCCUCUCUCUCCAGUGCUCUGCCGCCGCCGGCAUGCCGAGCGGCUACGAUGGGGCCGUAUAUGUCAUGGAUAUUACCUGAAAGGUAAGUUACUAAAUCAGUCUAAGAGUUAAUGAGUACUUAUGAAUUUCAUCUUAAGGAUAUCUUUGAAAAAUUUGAGGAUUCCCGACUUCACUGAAAGUCUAGAACUUCUGAAUUUAUUUCUGUGUUUCGAGAGGAACAUAUUAGUUGUCGAUAGAUUUUCAGUACCUUUUUUUUCUGCAUUUGUGCUAAAGGAGAUUUUCAGAUCUAAUGGUUUGUUUUCUUACUGUUCAGAAGCAUCUCUGUGCUUGGCUGCUCGCCAACUCGCCGUAGCCGUCGCAUAUACAAAUUACAGGCUGAUGGAGCAGCAGCAUGCGCAAGAAGUAGAGACAUGGGUUAUGUUACCGGAAUAAGUUCACUCUGACUCCCUUAACUAUUGACCAAAUCUGUUUCGUAUCCCUAAACCACACUAUCGGAUAACUCGACCCCUUAACUAUUAAAAUCAGUGCAAUUUGACUCUUUCGAUGGUUUCGCUGACAUAGCGCCUACGUGGCAGUAUUGACCUGGUCUUCGUUCCACAUGGCAUUGACAUGAAACUUAGGUAGCAUUAGAACUAAAAAAAAAAAAGUGUUUGACCUAUUUGUCAUUCACAAAAGAGUAUGUAUGGGACCCACGUAUCAUGCUCUAUCUUCUUCCUUCUUCCUCCUCCCUCUCUCUCUUUCUCUUCCCUUCGGCGAGCGUGGGACGGGGGCCAACAACGGUAGGAGGGCGGGCGGGCGAGGGCCGGAUCCCCUUUGCGAGCCCACAACUUCGAGUCACCACAGCGAUGCCGUUCCUCGCCAUCGCCGAGUUCUGCGUCGGCCGUCGCCGCUCGGGCGCUCGAUUCCCUCUCUUUCAGUCCCCAGUCAACCCAGCCACCGCCACAAUCGAGUUCCUCUCUUCCCAGCAAUGCCAUUCCACCCCUCGCUGGCGCCCAAUCGCCACCAUAGUCGAAACCCCCCAAAUCCGGUCUCUGUCGAUCGCCAUUGCCGAGAUCGAGCCGUGACUUGCCGCUACAAUCCAUCCCCUUUGGAAGCAGCGGCGAAGAGCGGCCUCCCUCCUCUCUCCUGUGGUCAGGGCGGCGUGUCCAUCAGAGGUUGGGAAGGAGCGGAAGGCGGCGGUGAAGAGCGGAAGGCACAUAAGGACGAAGGCGGUGGCCACCGCUCUUCCCAAACGCCGUUCUACCGCUGUUGCUGCUAUCCAGCAGCAGUAUCUAGCUUCCGAUCAAAGCUACUCCCUCAAUCCUAAAAUAUAAACAUUUUUAGCAUAGUGACAAGUCAAAUUAUUUUAACUUUGACUAUUGAUAGCAAACAAAUAAAAAAGAUUAAUCAUAUAAAAUUGAUGUUACUAGAUUUAUCAUUAAAUAAACUAUCAUAAUAUGCAACUCUUUUUAUUUAAAACAUUUUACUUUUAUAGAUAUUGUUGGUCAAAGUACCAUUUCAGAGACCAUGUCAGAGUCCAAAAGUUGUUAUAUUUUAGGACGAAUGGAGUAAUAUAGUUUUAAAAAAACAGAGCCAAUAUUGAUUGGCACUGAAUGCAAAGUGACUCCCUCUUACGGUUCAGGAAUCGGGAAUCCUCAGUUCCGUUGCAUUGUUCUUUUUUCCUUGUUUGAUCGGACGGUCUAUGUUGCUUGUCCUUUUUUUUUUUCCUCAUUGGCAUCCAACGGUGCAUUUUAUUUUCAUGACGUGGCUCAUUCCAAUAUCAUCUUUGGUUUCACUUUUCACUAGUGAAAAUGUCAUUAUCCAUUCUGGAAAAUAAAACGACUAUACAUAUUCUGUCACUGCACACUAUUUUACCGACAAAUUGGAGAUGUUAACCGAUUGAUUCAGGGAUCUUUUACCUGGGACCGGGAGGUGUUUCUGUUCACCGUAACAAUCGGCAUCUUCCUCGCACUCGCGGCCCUCGCCAUGAUCAUGACCAACGGCUGGCCGAUGGUCUACAGGACACUCUUCGCACCUUUCUCUGUCUGUGUGAUCAUCCUCCUAGCAGCUGGUUUUUGAACAGGAAGAAGGACUACAAGGAUGGGAGGUUCUCUCAGGUUGUUUCUAACGCUCUGGACAUGAAGCUCAGGGAUGACCUUGAGAGGCUGAAGAAGAUCAGGUGAUUUCUGAUUAAUUUGUGCUCACGUACCACAUUUUUUAGGUUCAUGGUAACUUGCAUGUGUAGGGUAGAUUUAUCUUUUCAUGCUUUUGUUGCACUGAUAAGUUGUUUCAUGCUUUGUUACAUUCGUAAAAAAAAAAAGCUAAAUUUGUGCGGUUUUAGUGAGAUGUUUACUGCAUCAAUCAUGGGCAAAUGGGAAUGAAUCAUCUCUGG
rnacentral:lncRNA from 1 species